rnacentral:lncRNA from 1 species
UUUUUGCUAAGGUAGCAGUAACCAUUUCUGAUGAAGGGCAUUGUUUAUUUUAUGACGUGUUUGAACUGGGGUGUCCUUCCGCGCAAAUUUACGCCCAAUAGUGUCCCAUAUAUGCUCGAUAUGGUUCAAAUCCGGGCUACGAUUGGGCCAAGAAAGAUGAACCGAAUUCCAUUUGAACAAUGGAUCUUCCUCCACGAUGCUAAUUUCCAAUUUUGGGGAGCUCCGCACUACAUUGGAUACGGACAACUGUGUGUCUGUUCGUAAGCAAUGGUCCCCGAAAUGGUCUGAUCGCACGAUAACCAGUAGCGAUAAGUCGAUCUCGAACAGUUUUUGUCAAAAGGUUCAAAAAACUUACCUUCAGAAAUGUUUUUUUAUUCAAAAGUGCAGAAAAAACGUAUUCUACAUUGUUUUUCUACGCCGGAAGUAGCGUA